UACGUAGGGUCCGAGCGUUGUCCGGAAUUACUGGGCGUAAAGAGCUCGUAGGUGGUUUGUCGCGUUGUCCGUGAAAACUCACAGCUCAACUGUGGGCGUGCGGGCGAUACGGGCAGACUGGAGUACUGCAGGGGAGACUGGAAUUCCUGGUGUAGCGGUGGAAUGCGCAGAUAUCAGGAGGAACACCGGUGGCGAAGGCAGGUCACUGGGCCGCAACUGACGCUGAGGAGCGAAAGCAUGGGGAGCGAACAGG
rnacentral:rRNA from 1 species